CACGUACUGUGCGAACGUUAUUCGGAAUCACUGGGCUUAAAGGGUACGUAGGCGGUUUAUCAAGUCAGAUGUGAAAUGCCACAGCUCAACUGUGGCACUGCGUUUGAAACUGAUAGACUAGAGUAUUCCAGGGGUGUGCGGAACUGCCAGUGGAGCGGUGAAAUGCGUUGAUAUUGGCAGGAACACCGGAGGCGAAGGCGGCACACUGGGGGAUAACUGACGCUGAGGUACGAAAGCCAGGGGUAGCGAACGGAUUAGAUACCCCGGUAGUCC
rnacentral:rRNA from 1 species